UCACCACUCUGGCCUCUGGCUUAGAUGAACUGUAGUAUCUGUUCUUUUUAGUUUAACCACUAAAAUGGGUCCACCGGACUCCAUCAUGGUUAUCCAAUUUUUGCCGCCCUCGCCCCCGACCCCCUGCUCGCAUGGUCGGGUGGCAAGAUGGCCUCGCCGUUGCACUCCAGGCGAGCGUCGUCAGGGGAU
rnacentral:snRNA from 1 species